rnacentral:rRNA from 1 species
UACGGAGGGUGCAAGCGUUAUCCGGAUUCACUGGGUUUAAAGGGUGCGUAGGUGGGUUGGUAAGUCAGUGGUGAAAUCUCCGAGCUUAACUUGGAAACUGCCAUUGAUACUAUUAGUCUUGAAUAUUGUGGAGGUCAGCGGAAUAUGUCAUGUAGCGGUGAAAUGCUUAGAGAUGACAUAGAACACCAAUUGCGAAGGCAGCUGGCUACACAUAUAUUGACACUGAGGCACGAAAGCGUGGGGAUCAAGCAGG